UACGUAGGGGGUAAGCGUUGUCCGGAUUCAUUGGGCGUAAAGAGCGUGUAGGCGGCCAGGUAGGUCGGUUGUGAAAACUGGAGGCUCAACCUUCAGAGGUCGACCGAAACCAUCUGGCUAGAGUCCGGGAGAGGAGAGUGGAAUUCCUGGUGUAGCGGUGAAAUGCGCAGAUAUCAGGAAGAACACCCGUGGCGAAAGCGGCUCUCUGGACCGACACUGACGCUGAGGCGCGAAAGCUAGGGGAGCAAACGGG
rnacentral:rRNA from 1 species